UGAUAAAACAAUCUUUAUUUAAAUAUUUAAAAAUAGCUUGGGGAAUAGGGAAAGGGCAAUUAAAACUAAACUCUGACUCGGCCCUCCAGAUGGGCUAUGGCCGGGAAGAGGUCAGGGAGCAAGGGGGCCACGGGGAUCCGGGGCGUGGGACUCGGGCCCCGGCCUGAGUCUUAGGUAUCCGUAGCGCCCUCCUUCUUCCUCCUCUUCGCUGAAUACAGCUCACGGUAAGUACUGGUUCACACAGUUCGUUCUCGAGGUGCUCACUCUCUUUCUCUUCCUCCACAGGCAACGGCUGGGACACAAAAGCACAGUUAAUUCGGCUUGGUUUUGCUCUCACCUCUUCGCUGAUUGCAGCUCACAGUAAGUACUGGUUCACACAGUUCGUUCUCUGGGUGCUCACUCUCUUUCUCUUUCUCCACAGGUAUCAACUUAGGCACAAUAGCACAGUUAGUUUGCUUUGAAUGGCUCUCACCUCUGGGCUGGGCACAGCGUACUGUAAGUACAGGUUCCCUCUGGUUCUCCUUGUGUUACUCACUCUCUCUUUCCUUUCCUCUCCACAGGUGGGCUGGACACAGCGUACCGUGCUAUCUCCGGAGAUCUGAAGCACGCUCACAACAUAUACUAUACUGAACUAGGCUAGGACCAGCAGUCUCCUUGUCCUCCCGCGACGAAGUGCGUGAAGGCGGGGGUUUAUCUGACAGGACACACGGCAAUACACAGCAGCCCACAGCAAUAUACAACACCACGUCAAAAUUAUAGGUUUUCACAGCACGAAGACUCACCCACCACACUCAGUGUACGAAAAGGACACCCGUCUUCCUUCACUUCGCUUGGUUCGGAUCUGGCGAUGGAAUAUGCGGCCUAGCUAGUGAUGUCGUCGUUGUGACUACUUCAAUAAGUAUUCCUUCGGCUCUCCCACCACACUAUAUUAGGGGUAGGGCCGCCCUCCUCCUGGAGAGAUCUACACAACGCCAGGUCAAUAUACAGGGCACUUUCGACUGGCUCUUAGUACUCACAUCAAUGCCGCUUCCAAUCCCCUUUUUCACGUCGUCUCAGUUCGCC
ensembl:lncRNA